GAGGCGGGAAUGGCCGGGUGUGCUGACAGGCUCCCCGCGCCUGGGCGAGGCCGUUCUCAGCCUCCCAGGCUCACCUGGUCCGGCCCAGUCCAGAAGAGCCGCCCGGCUGAGCACGGACUCCUGAGAAGUAGGAACUUGAAGGAGGCACUGCAGUGGGGGAUGUCUGUGCAUCUCUGUAGGAUGGUAUACCAGUCUCAGUGCAGCUGGCAUCUGGCAAAAAGCAGUUAAGUGUAUACCACUGUCAGUCAUCUGGAAAUCCUUUCACUUUUAACCUUUAUGUGGCAUUUCACUACAUGUGGGCUUUUCGUAAACAGCAUUUAUAUAGGGAAACUGAGACCCAGUGAAGUUGGACAAUUUGCCAAGGAUGCACAGCUGAAACAUGUUAGAGCCGGGAUUUGAACCCAGAUCCGAUGCAGAUACCACAUCUCUUCAGGUCUUGGUGAUCUAUGAUGGCUUCCUAGUUUUUCAUAACCUUGACAGUUUUGGGGGCUACCACUCAGGAUUUUGAAUGCAUCCUCUUUCUAUCUCCUGACCUUCAUGGAUUUGCUGAGAAAUCCUCUCCCAGCCUUAUGAAAGUUCCUUUGUAUGUGAUGAUGUGAAGAUAGAGCUGAGAGAGAUUUGAAGAUGCUGGCGCUGAAGAUUGGAGAGAUGUGAUCAUGAGCCAAGGAAUGCCAACAGCCACCAGAAACUGAAAGAGGCAAGGGAUAGAUUCCUUCCUAGACCCUCUAGAGGAAAUACCGCACUGACCACACCUUGAUUUCAGUCUGAUUGAUAUUGCUGUACUUGUAGAUCAACAUGAAGGCUUAACUUGAGGACAAAGGAGCUUUCUUGCCCCAGUCUCCUGAAGCUCUCUGCAUUGGGCUGAGCUGACCCUGGAGGAAACCAGACAGCUGUUUUGGAUAAGAAGUUAACCUCCAUACCUCUUGUGCCCACAGUAAGGAAUCAUAAGGAGGAAAAUACACAAACCAAAGGGAGACCCAUUUGCACAAAAAUAUUUACCACUGAAUUACUCACUCAGUAGAAUCCUUGAGAGUCUCAAAUCUGAGCUCCAGUGUCCAAUGCUAAGAGGUCCUGGGAGAAGAGAAGGAAACAGAAAAGAGACCAAAAAGGAGUAAUGCAGGCAGCAGGAAGAGGAACAGGGUAUCCUGAAAGUCAAGUAAAAAGCACAUCAAGGAGGAUUUUAGAAACAAGAUCAGUAAAUGGUCUUGUGUGAAGAGAAUAGUGAGUUUGCACUGAAGGAUAUAAACUAGGACUUCAAUAAAUAUAAUAAUAAAUAAAUAAUAGGACUUCCUAUCUUGGAUAAGAAGAUUUAGUAUGGCACAAUGUUCAUUCUUCUUAGAUUAGCCUUUAAUUCAAUAUAAUCCCAAUAAACACACACACACACACACACUCAAAUUGAUGGGAUUUAAUAAGAUUAUUAUAAAUCUGGAACAAUAGAUAUUAAAGAACAGAAUGAAAUUUUCUGAAAAGUAAGCAUAAUCAGUGGGAUUUACCUUACCCUUUUCCCAACCAUGUUGUAAAGUUAAUGAAAACCACAGAAAAGACACAGAUACGGAAAACAGGGCAUGGAAUAGAGGUGUAGACCCGAAAACCCUUGGCUCUUUGGCAUACAGCAAAGUUGGUGUUUCACAUUUGGGACGGAAAUGAUGAAUUAAUCAGUAAAUCAUAUCUAAAUUGGCUAGUCAUUUGGGUUAAAAAAGUUAAGCUAGAAACUAUCCUCAGGUCUUUACUCCCAAAUAAACUUCAGAGCUAGAUCAAAGAUGAAAAGAGAAAAAUUUGAUCUUUUAAUCUAUGCAAUAUUGGGAAAAAAAACCACAAGAGAAUAUUUUUGGCAAACUUUAGAAAAACUAAAGGAAAAAGCAUAUGAUUUAAUUGCCUGAAAUAGAUUUCUAUGGAGCAAAAGAAGUUGUAAAGUUAAAAGAUAAUAUCAAUGUGGAAGAAAUUCUUUAAAAAUAAGUAUGAGGGAAAGGGUUAAUAUUGUUAAUAUUAAUUUGGAUUAGAAAUAAAGUUGAGGGUUAAAUAAAUACUUAGGUGGAGGAGAAAGAGCCUUAGACUCUGUUCAUCCCCACUUCCUGCAGGUGUCCACCUCUGUGAACACUCACUAGACAGUAGCUGCCAGGUGGGCACGCUGGGCCAUGGGGGUGUGCCUAAGUACCAGGAGCUGAACACACACCCUCCCAACCAAUCCUCUACCUAAAAGGCCCACCCUAGACCCUCUGGCUCCUUUCCCUCCCCCAAGUGGUAAUGAUGGGGACCAAGAGGAGUCCUGUGAGUCCUCUUCCCCUCAGAGGGUGAUCCUAUGGAACUUGAGACCAUGCUGGCUGGGCAUCUAAGCUGGCGUGGGCAGAGCCAUGCCUGGUGGUUGGGGGAGGAGGUAGGGUGCAGAGUCCCAGGGUAGCAUAUUGUGAGGAGAUCUGGAAAUCAUGAGCAACAUCUAGGAGAGGAGCCAAGGAAAGGAAGAUUUGGGGGUAGGGGCCCCAGGCAGGUAAAAUUUAGGAGUGGAGCAGAGGUGAGCGGGAGAGUGGGGUGGUCACAGCCCUCCAAUUUGCAAUGAGUUCCCUUUGCUAUGGGGAAGUUACCCUCAUGUCCUGUUUUUAGGAAGCACAUGAUAUGGGAAAGCCCAUCCUGAGACAUUACUUACUUCUUUGGUUCAUUCAUUCAACAAAUAAUUUAUUAUUUAUUGUGGGCUACAGUGAGCCAGGCCCUGGGAUUGUCUCCAUUCCUGUGCAUUUAUAAAUUUUAAGGCAGUGUAAGAAUAUUUGGAUUUAACAUGGAAAAUCACAAAUAACAAUGUUCCCUGCCAGCUUUAAUUUGCUGCCUUUCAUGGGGGUCAGAGAAAUGCAGGGCGUGAGUUUCCAUCUUAAGGUUAUUGAACCUGCUGUGUGCCAGGCACUGGGUUAGACCCUGGGGAGGGGGUACAUUGUUGACCAUCCUUUAUCCUUGCUUAUUAAUUUAACAUGAGAUCCCCAAACCCAGAUCACAGAGUAUCCAAUGUGAAACAACCUUCAGGCUGACACAGUCUGUUCCAAAGCAACUGAGAUCAGUUGCCUUUUUGGCAUUUGGUUUUUGGUGCUGGGCCAAAAAAAAGAGUGGGAUGAGGAGAUUCUUACCAUAAAUGCAGCUGUUUAAUCCAGUCACUUUGUAAGGGUCUCAUUGAAUUUUUGAUGGAGAAGAUGUUUUUGUCUGGGCCAACUUCAGGACAAAGGGAAAUGUAACUAACACAGGGCAGAGUUGAUAGUGUUUAAAAACAUGUUCAAAGAUCUUAUACUUUGUAACUGAGUUGCUGAGCAAUAAUGGAAGAAUUCCUGACACAGCAGGGUGAGCCUGACUAAGCCAUACCGACUGACAACUGGGAGGAGGGGCCCUUAUUCCCCAGUAGAAUGCAGGCUGG